rnacentral:rRNA from 1 species
GAUGAACGCUGGCGGUAUGCUUAACACAUGCAAGUCGAACGGACUCUUCGGAGUUAGUGGCGGACGGGUGAGUAACGCGUGAGAAUCUGGCUUUGGGUUCGGGACAACCACUGGAAACGGUGGCUAAUACCGGAUGUGCCGAGAGGUAAAAGAGAAAUUGCCUGAAGAUGAGCUCGCGUCUGAUUAGCUAGUUGGUGAGGUAAAGGCUCACCAAGGCAGCGAUCAGUAGCUGGUCUGAGAGGAUGACCAGCCACACUGGGACUGAGACACGGCCCAGACUACUCCGGGGGGAAGCAGUGGGGAAUUAUCCGCAAUGGGCGAAAGACUGACGGAGCAAUACCGCGUGAGGGAAGAAGGCUCUUGGGUUGUAAACCUCUUUUCUUAGGGAAGAACAAAAUGACGGUACCUAAGGAAUCAGCAUCGGCUAACUCCGUG